GAAAAGAACUUUGAAAAGAAAGUCAAAUAGCACGUGAAAUUGUUGAAAGGGAAACGAUUAAAGUCAGUCGUACCGAUGGACAUUCAGCCUCCUGAGUGCGAUUACGUCGGGCGUUGGGGAGCUUAACCGCCCUCGCGUUUGGGUAUUUGUGCUCUACGGGUGUACUUGUCCGUAUGGUAGGUUAACAUCAAUUUUGGACGUCAUAAAAUGAUGGGAGGAAUGUGGCUUCGAUCUCGUAUUGAAGUGUUAUAGCCUCUGGUAGAUGUGAUGACCGGGAUUGAGGAUUGCAACGAACCCUUC
rnacentral:misc_RNA from 1 species